rnacentral:lncRNA from 1 species
GCUGGCAGUGUAGCGGUGGCAGCGGUGUCUGCGCCAUGGCAAGAAGCUGCUCGAGAAGUUGCGAGCGCAGAGCGGGAAUGGGGAGAGCAGCGCGCGCAUGCAGCAGUACACAGCGAGAGCGCGGCAGAAGGCCCAUCAGAAGCGGGAGACAGCCUGUCAGAGCCCUCUGAGGCCGGCACCUGGGCCUCCCCAUUGCCAGCCGCCAGUCCAGCGCAGCUCCCUU